rnacentral:tRNA from 1 species
GGGCCCAUACUCCAAUCGGUAGAGAGAGUGGACUUAAACUCCACACAGUCUGGGUUCGAGUCCCAGUGGGCCUACCA